rnacentral:rRNA from 1 species
UACAGAGGGGGCAAGCGUUAUUCGGCAUUAUUGGGCGUAAAGGGCGCGUAGGCGGCUUUUCAAGUGACGGGUGAAAUCCCUCGGCUUAACCGAGGAACUGCCUGUCAGACUGGAAGGCUUGAGACCGGGAGAGGUGAGUGGAAUUCCCAGUGUAGCGGUGAAAUGCGUAGAUAUUGGGAGGAACACCCGUGGCGAAGGCGGUUCUCUGGGACGGUACUGACGCUGAGACGCGAAAGCGUGGGGAGCGAACAGG